rnacentral:rRNA from 1 species
GACAGGGGGCUCGAGCGUUAAUCGGAAUCACUGGGCUUAAAGGGUGCGUAGGCGGGCCAGUAAGCGUCUUGUGAAAUCCCCCGGCUCAACCGGGGAACUGCGGGGCGAACUGCUGGUCUUGAGGAAGCUAGAGGCCGGUAGAACGAUUGGUGGAGCGGUGGAAUGCGUAGAUAUCAAUCGGAAUGCCGAAAGUGAAGACAGCCGGCUGGGGCUUUCCUGACGCUGAGGCACGAAAGCGUGGGGAGCAAACGGG